rnacentral:lncRNA from 1 species
GAUGCUUCGCCAAAAUUAGGAAGUAUUACCGUGUAUUUCUAUAAUAAAAAAGAUCUUUCUAAAGCAAACAGCUUCUAUACAACUUGAUUACCGUGUAACAUCUGAAUGUUUUCAGGCAUGGUGGCGCAUUGGUGAAACGCUCUCUUUAUAUCCUCUCGGAGUUUUCUAAGAAUGGAUGGUUAUGUUGCGUUCUUGGCGACAUUGUGAAAUUUGCCACAUCGGGGACCAAGGGUCUGAUGCAAGUUAUAGUGGUUGUUAACCAGAACUCAUUUGGGAGACGUUUGGAAUUUGGAUUUGAUCUAUUGAAGAACUAUGAAAUAUUGGAGUAGAUAUGGAAAGUAUCUUUUGGUUUUGCUAUACGCCAAUACUUGUGAUUUGUGAAGCAUCAACGUGAAAAGAAAAGGUAUGUUUUAAAGAAAGCCCGGCUUUUGAGAGAGUCUGAUAGGACCCGGUAUGUUUUUAUUCCUUCUUUAAUAUUGAAUACCCGAACAAACUUGGAGAAACUUAGCGUGUUGGAAUAACUCUAAUUAUACUAUUAAGAUAACUCUUUUAGUAAAUUUAGUUUGGUUGAGAUAUUGUUUGACGUUAGUAUUGGCCUGAUGUAAAUAUAUUCAAAUAUUAAGGACUUUUGAUUCUAGGUCAUCAUUUUAAAGUAGUUAUUAUUCUUAUUAGCCACCCAUGUAUCACACGGGAACUUAGACUAGUAUCAUAUAUAUAGAUCAAUACAACAACAACCCUAAAGCCCAUUAACAUUAGGUCAAGCUUGGCCUAUGGGCCUGAAUGUCUGCAUUCAUAACAGAAAAUGAUUUAUAUUUGGAGUUAAAGCAACAUAUUUAUUUUUUUGACAAAUGAAAUGACAAUAAAUAUAUUAAAUAUAGUUUUAUUGAAAUUAUAGAUUAUUUUUAUGCAAAGAUUGUAAGUAUAAUUAAUUGAUAAUAUCUACAUAUAACAUACGGGACUACCCUUACCACUUAGGCUAUAGGGUGUGGGGGUCAUGGAUUGGAACAUUAUUUCCACACAGGAUCACUAAUUAAAUGGUUUACCACCCCCCUCCUUGAUUAAUGGUGGUUCCCAUGGAUUAAACCACGAUUGCCACGACCCUCCCAUUUGAAAAUUUUAAGACAAAAAUAUAUUUAAAAAAAUAAAUGGGAUAGUGGUUUGGGUCAUGACCACACCCUUAGGAUAGUGGUUUUAAAUGGUGAAUUAAAAUAGAUAACAUGGUGCCUAUGUGGAGGAUCAUGAUGGUCAUAAGGGUCAUGACCACACCCUAUAGCCUUAAAGUUGCUUUUUAAGCCAUUUUUAUUGUAUAGACCAACAAGGUAAAGGUAUGUUAGAUAAUUCAUGUACAUAUAACAUGGAAAGUUUUAAAAAAGAAAAAAAAGUAACUAGAACGUCUCAUACUUUCAUCCAACCAUGUGUCUUGUUACACACUAUUUUCGUCAUGGAAAAAAAGUAAUUCAAACGUUUCAUAGUUUCACCCACUCAUGUGCCUCUUGUUACACAUUAUUUUCAUCAUGUGUGUGUUAAUGUUCACGAGUCUCAUGAAAACACUAGAAUGCAAUAAAAUGAAUUUGUUGUGUUAAGCGAAAUGGGGGGAAACUUGUUGUAAAUAAGAGUGCGAACGAGUAGAGUGACCCGUGAGCUGCUCAUAAUCGGCUCGCUAGACGUUUGAACCGAGUCAAGCUUAAAUGAUCUUGAACCAUUUGCAUUUAAUACGUUUGGUUUCCUUGCGCUUGAGGUUGCGGAGCUACUUAGCCGAGUCCGACCGGUCAUGCAUAGGAAUGUCAUAACCUUAAGAUCUAUGAAUGUGGUUUUUUGU